rnacentral:rRNA from 1 species
UACAGAGGCCACAAGCGUUAGGCGGAAUCACUGGGCUUAAAGCGUGUGUAGGCGGGUUGGUAAGUACCUUGUGAAAUCCCACGGCUUAACCGUGGAAAUGCUUGGUAUACUGCCGAUCUUGAGUCAUUUAGGGGCAGCCGGAACAGAUGGUGGAGCGGUGAAAUGCGUAGAGAUCAUGAGGAAGACCAGUGGCGAAGGCGGGUCUCUGGACAGUUCCUGACACUGAGACACGAAGGCCAGGGGAGCAAACGGG